rnacentral:rRNA from 1 species
UACAGAGGUCUCAAGCGUUUGUUCGGAUUCAUUGGGCGUAAAGGGUGCGUAGGUGGCGCUGUAAGUCAGGUGUGAAAUUUCGGAGCUUAACUCCGAAACUGCAUUUGAUACUGCGGUGCUCGAGGACUGGAGAGGAGACUGGAAUUUACGGUGUAGCAGUGAAAUGCGUAGAGAUCGUAAGGAAGACCAGUGGCGAAGGCGGGUCUCUGGACAGUUCCUGGACGCUGAGGCAACGGAAGGUCAGGGGGAGCAAAACGGG